UACUGCAGGCAGUGGCAAUCAUG
rnacentral:miRNA from 8 species